rnacentral:lncRNA from 1 species
UUGAAGUUUAUUACAAACUUUAUUGGAAAAACUGAGUAACAACAUACUGUUCAAUGUCACAGUUUUUUUAAAAAAGAAUAUAGGCGUCUUGAAAAAGAGGCAAUGAUAAACACAUUUAACCUGUUGGUGCCUACUGAGCUGUAAGUCAAGCCAUGAAAUCUCAGGACCCUGGGAGCCUGUGAAGGAUGUCUGGAAUCACAUUCUGGCUACAUCACAAAUUAAGUAUUGACUUAAGGUGAUUAUUUAAUAUCUCUAAGCCUCAGUUCCUUAUCUGCCAAAAAAAAAAGGAGAGCGAUAUAUCAUUUCUCAGGGUUAUCAUGGAAAUUAAAAUAGAUAUUUUGUUUAAAAAAAUGUUUACUGCAAUGACUAGCACACAGGAAGCCUAAUAAUAAUUUGUUGGUAGACACACUGCAAACUGUUGACCACAGAUAUGACCACGCAUUCCUGUUCAUCUGAACCACAUUCAGUAACCUAUGUUAUGUAAUCCAAACAGCGAGAUGCGCUGUUUAUAUAAACAGCUGACUUCUUCUCUCUCCUGGAGGCCACCCCAUGGCAAUCAUAUCACAAUCUUCCCUGGGGCUGGGCCAGUGACCCAGGAAGGGGAUGAUUUGAUUCACCUGCUGGAAAGGAGGCAAGUUUUGUCCUUUUUGUUUUCAGUUUUUCUCUGUCUUUUGCCACUUUGCAGUUCAUUUCCUUUCAUCCUGGCUUAUCUCCUUUAUCUAUCUUUCCUCUUUCGGUCUAAUCCAUUCAUUACCCUCUAAUUUCCUAAUUAUGGCUUGUAAGCAUAAGAAUAGUACUAAGGACACCCCUGUUUUAGAGGAAAAAACUAUCAAUGUAACAAAACCCUGUGCCAUCAUCAUAAAUUCUUCAAAAGGGCCAAGCUAAUCUCUCUGGAUUAUUGCCAAAGUCUCCAUCUCUUGUCCCCCUUCCCCUAAUCUCUCUCUUUUUUUCCUAAUUAAUAAACUUUUCUCUUCAAAUAUCAAUAUGCAAGGUAAAAUAAAACAUUUAAAACCUAAUUCAUUAAAGCAUUAUUGGGUUUAUUCUCUGUUUUAUCUAUUUAUUCUGAAGCUUUCAUCCUUUGAUUCAGUAAAACCACAGUGGGAACUAAAGGGUCAAGGGAACAUCACUAUGCUGCAGGCAUUGACCCGAGCCAGCUCAAGGAACUCAGUCUUGUUGGAAAGGCGGUGACAAUGCAGAAUGACAUGUUCUUUAGUUCUUUAGUAGAAAUUAGCGCUGGCAAGUAGCGAAGGUCUAGUGGAUGCCAGGUGUGGUGGGUUAUUACUUUCUCUUUUAAGAAAAGUAUUUUCAAAGUCUCCUUUGAGAUAGGUUUGUGGAUUAGAAACCAUAUGUGAAAUAUGAGCUGCAUUACAGAAAUGGUAGAUAGUUUAGCAGCUGGCUGGCUAACUAGACCCAAAGGAUAUUAAUGAAUAGUCAGGUUAACCUAAAUGGAUUCCUAGUGGUGGACCACAGGACUCUGAGGCCUUGUCUUAUGCAUCUUUUGUAUCAGUGGUUUAAAUAAAGCCAGAAAAGACAUACUCAUAAAUGUAUACAGAAGUUACACACCUGCCAGAAACGGCUAAUUCAAAAGGUGAUGGAAUCAGGACUUAAAGUGAUCUCAGGAUGUUGAGACAUUGCAUCAAAAUAAAUCAGAUCCAAUUUAAAAGGAAGGAGGGCCCCAUUUAUGAUUGCACUGUUGUGAAUAUUAUUAUUUGUGCGAUGUAUAUGAAUUUCUUUUCCUGCAGCCAAGGGAUCCCAAACUAAGGCAACUGAUAAAAUGUAAUAACAUUUGUGCUAGUUAAUGUGGGUUUCUUUUCUUGCAACCAAGGGAUUCCAAAUUUAAGACAACUGAUAACAUCAACUGCUCAGGGGCCUAAUCUCAGGGGAACUGCAGAGCUACGAGGGAGGGGCUUGGGGGAGCAGGUUUGGACUCUAGGUCCUGGUCUGUUCUCAUCACAGCUUAGGCAAGGGCAGUGUGCUAAUUAAUUUUGUUUUAAGUAAAAAAGUGACAUAAAUAAAAUUCAAAACCAGAAAAGAACAUAUGUUGACUAUCAUACUUACAAAUUCCAGAGAAAAACCCACUUCUGUCAUAGCUGGAGCCAAGUGCUCAGUGCAGGCAGGAAUCUGCCUCUCUCAAUCUCUUGACUUUCAUUUCCUGCAUUAGUCUUUCUUAGAUAGGUUCUUACCAAAUGGUAGCAAGCAUAGCCCUCACCUGCGAUGUACAUUCUAUUAACUUAGCAGAACCAGAGCCCCAUCAGAAUAAAAAUCCCUUUCUUAUUAGUUCCAGCAGAGUCCUAGAGUGGGGUCUCAUUCACCUGGCUUGGCUCACAUCCCUGAACCAAUUGGGGUGAGUGGCCUCACACAGGCCAUGUGCCCACUCCUGGUUUGGAGGGUGUAGCGGAAGCAGAUGGGAUUAUAUCUAUCUAAGCCCCAUAAGGUAGGUUUCCACAUGAAUGAGGAAUCCUAUGAAUAGAAAGGGAGAAAAAUGGAUACUAGACCGGCAAGUAUAACAGGUGUCCACCAUGGAGGGAAUAUUCCCAUUUUCAUGAUACUAAUGUGAGAAAUGGUUAGAAGAGCUAUAAAAGAUGUCCACCAUGGAGGGAAUGUUCCUAUUUUCAUGAAACUAAUUAAGAAGACUGGGUGAAAAAUGGUGAGAAGAGCUACAGAUGAGAAAAUGAAGAGGCAGCGUGAGAGCAGCUUUGUGGCAUGUGAGAUCACAUGCCUCAUCUAUGGUGAGGGUUAGCUGCAGAAUGGGAUGAGGCUUGAGGAGGAAAUAAAAACAAGGAGCUCAAGACAGUGUUCACAAGAAGGACCCACCCCUAUCAUGUGGUGCUCAGAACAUGCUUUGGAAUUGGACAAAGUGGCUCAAAGGGUCAGUGGUGGAUUACAGAGGAACAGUGGAUAAGUCAUGGAUGAAAAGGAGAAAUAAAAGGCAGAAGAAUCAAAGUAUAAUUACACAUGCUGGUUUGCUCAAUAAAUCCAAACAUAUUCAAGUACUGCCUGUAAGAGUGAAGAGUUCUUUGUAUGGAAGAGGGCACUGACUUUUGGUUUUUUUAUAUUCAGAGGACAGAAAUGAGCACUGGGUAGAAGAUUCCAGAAGGCCAACUUUAGUUCAGUAUAUAAAAAAACUUUAAAAUAACUCAAAUUGUCCAACAACGGCUCAAGCAUUGAGCAAGCUCUCCCCAAAGAGCAGAAUGGAACAGGAAUUCUCAUUGAUGAAGAACCUCUCCCUGGGUGAGAAGCUGAGUGAGACAGCCACCAAGAUAUCUAUUUUAUCUUUAAAGUCCUCAAGGUCCUCUCGUUCUUUAAUGUUUACAUGAUAUGCCAGUCAUCCGAUGCUCUACCUGGACAGCCUCAUUGGAAUCUGGCUACUUCAACCUUCUUGUUGCUGGAAAGGCCUAGGUAGCUUCUGUGCAGUUGUUUUGUGUUUCUUGACUGAAGUUUAAGCACGAAGAAGUCUCAGAUAUGCACCCUGUGGCCUGAUCUGGAGGUUUCUAUUUACAAACACUUCGAUCGCAUUAUGACUGGGUGAAGCUGAUUAAGAGGAAGGGAGAACAAGUUUAUGUUCUGCAAUGAGCAAAUCUGGCGAGCCUGCAAAAUUUUGUAAUGAAUGUUUCUUUAAACCACUUUAUGGUCUCUGAAUGAUGAUAAUGAUGAUGAUAAUGAUUAUAAUGUCAAUUUAUUCCAUGCUUACUCCUACCAAUAGCUAACAUUUAUUGCUAUUACUAAAAUAGCUGACAGCAAGUACCAGAAACAAUUCUAAGUACUUUACAUGUAUUUUCUCAUUUAAUACUCACAAGAUCCCUAUGAGGCAGGUACUGUAAUUACUGUCAUCUCAUCUAUAUUAGAGAUGAGCAGAUGAAGGCACAGAGUCUAAUAACUUGCCCAGGGUCAUAGAGUUGUAAGUAGCAAUACUGGGAUGUGCCACAAAUGUUUUCAUAAAUGUUAUCUUCUUUAGAUUAUACAACAGCCCUAUGAAGAAGGUAUAAAUAGUUCCAUUUUGUAAAUGAUGAAAAUGGAUACCAAUAAAUUUCUUGCCCAAGGUCCCAUCACUCAGCUGGCAAGUAGUGAAUCAGAAUUCGAGUCAAUCUGCCUGUAAAACUUGUGUUUGACUGCCUCCCAUAUCCCCAAAUUCAGAACAUUAAAUGCACCUUCUAAAGUGGUUCUGGCCUCUGGUGUGAACUCUUUCUUCUUUGGGGAAGAUUCUGCCACACUGUCCUCUCUGGAGCAUAGCUGGUGGCAUCAAGUGCCCAUGGAGCUCUUCCUGGGUUCCAGAGAGUGGCAAGGAAAUCCUCAGACUUUCUCUCCUGCUCUGUCUCAAGACUGAACUUCCUUGGGAGAUACCACAGUUCUCUGACCCCUGGUCUCUGGGUUUUCAGGUAGUCUCCCAAGAGUGGUGUUUCUUCACUUUUCUACUGCCAAGGACCAUUAGAAGGAGCCAAGGGUCAUUGCCCAGGUGACAUGUCCCGUUUUCCUGUGUUCUCUUCCGUGGAGAUAUCGGCUCUACUGUAUACAAGCAAUCUUAUUCCCUUCAUGUCACCCCGUCCAAACUUAAUUCACAUGCCUCAUCUGUGGUGAGGGGGUUAGCUGCAGAGUGGGAUGAGGC